rnacentral:rRNA from 1 species
GACGAACGCUGGCGGCGUGCUUAACACAUGCAAGUCGAACGAUGACGACCGAGCUUGCUCGGUCUGAUUAGUGGCGAACGGGUGAGUAACACGUGAGCAACCUGCCCUUCACUCUGGGAUAACCUCGGGAAAUCGGGGCUAAUACCGGAUAUGAGCUCCUGUCGCAUGGCGGGUGUUGGAAAGUUUUUCGGUGAAGGAUGGACUCGCGGCCUAUCAGUUUGUUGGUGAGGUAGUGGCUCACCAAGGCGAUGACGGGUAGCCGGCCUGAGAGGGCGACCGGCCACACUGGGACUGAGACACGGCCCAGACUCCUACGGGAGGCAGCAGUGGGGAAUAUUGCACAAUGGGCGAAAGCCUGAUGCAGCGACGCCGCGUGAGGGAUGACGGCCUUCGGGUUGUAAACCUCUUUCAGCAGGGAAGAAGCGAAAGUGACGGUACCUGCAGAAGAAGCGCCGGCUAACUACGUG